rnacentral:rRNA from 1 species
CCUACGGGAGGCAGCAGUGGGGGAUAUUGCACAAUGGGGGGAACCCUGAUGCAGCGACGCCGCGUGAGCGAAGACGUACCUCGGUAUGUAAAGCUCUAUCAGCAGGGAAGAAAAUGACGGUACCUGACUAAGAAGCACCGGCUAAAUACGUGCCAGCAGCCGCGGUAAUGAGUAUGGGGCAAGCGUUAUUCGGAUUUACUGGGUGUAAAGGGAGCGCAAGCGGCCUGCCAAGUCUGGUGGUAAAACCCGGGGCCCAACCCCGGGCCUGCAUUGGAAACUGGCGGGCUGGAGUGUGGGAGGGGCAGGCGGAAUUCCUGGUGUAGCGGUGAAAUGCGUAGAUAGUA